rnacentral:rRNA from 1 species
UACGGAGGGUGCAAGCGUUGCUCGGAAUUACUGGGCGUAAAGCGCGUGUAGGCGGUCUCGUGUGUCUGGCGUGAAAGCCCCGGGCUCACCCCGGGAAGUGCGUUGGAAACUGCGAGACUAGAGUUCCGGAGAGGAAGGUGGAAUUCCAGGUGUAGCGGUGAAAUGCGUAGAUAUCUGGAAGAACACCGGUGGCGAAGGCGGCGUUCUGGACGGUGACUGACGCUGAGACGCGAGAGCGUGGGGAGCAAACAGG